rnacentral:lncRNA from 1 species
AGGACACUCACCUGAAUGCAUGGUACUGGAGGAACGUUCCAUUUCGGUGGGAAGAUUGCUUAUAACAUUAUCCUCACGGAUGGUGCAGUGGGAAUUAGAUGCGUCUUUGUGCCUUCCCUUUAGAAUCAUUGAUAGAACUUUUUAAAAAUAAUCAUUCUGUGCUAUCAGAGCUAAAGAGAUUCUUGAGGCAAGAAAGGUUGUGUUUGAAGAAAACAUUGUCAGGAAGUAUAACAAAAUGGAGUGAGAAAUCUCUAUUGCGACUCAUGAGAAAAUAACCUGUAUUUCAUGACUAAAUCACACAUCACUCUUAAAAGGCCUUCAUACUAUCACCGAGAUGUCAAACAGUUCAGGUAACCACAUGAGAAGUGACAGGUGUUUUCUCCCUAAUGGUUACCUCCUUUGCCACCCCAUAUCCCCCAGAGGGUUGAAAGAACGCCAAUUCAAGCAAUUAGAGGUCAGAAGUGACCAGUAUCAUUGUUGCUGUUCUGUAAGCCACAGUAUCACAAAAAAGUUGCAAACAUUUCAGAGACCAUGGAUAUUUAUAUGGGGAAAUUGUUCCAGGAGUGGAAGACAUUCAUUUUUUUUUUCUGUGUACCUUUUUCAUACUGAAGUUAAUUAUUUGAUGAUAGCAACUAAUUUAUGUCAUUUGUAAAACCAUGUGACUUCUCAUUUAAUUACUAGAUUAAAAUCAAUGAACCCCA